rnacentral:rRNA from 1 species
GUAGGGAAUCUUCGGCAAUGGACGAAAGUCUGACCGAGCAACGCCGCGUGAGUGAAGAAGGUUUUCGGAUCGUAAAACUCUGUUGUUAGAGAAGAACGUUGCAUAGAGUGGAAAAUUAUGCAAGUGACGGUAUCUAACCAGAAAGGGACGGCUAACUACGUGCCAGCAGCCGCGGUAAUACGUAGGUCCCGAGCGUUGUCCGGAUUUAUUGGGCGUAAAGCGAGCGCAGGUGGUUUAAUAAGUCUGAUGUAAAAGGCAGUGGCUCAACCAUUGUGUGCAUUGGAAACUGUUAGACUUGAGUGCAGUAGAGGAGAGUGGAAUUCCAUGUGUAGCGGUGAAAUGCGUAGAUAUAUGGAGGAACACCGGUGGCGAAAGCGGCUCUCUGGACUGUCACUGACACUGAGGCUCGAAAGCGUGGGUAGCAAACAGGAUUAGAUACCCUGGUAGUCC